UACGUAGGGUGCAAGCGUUGUCCGGAAUUAUUGGGCGUAAAGAGCUUGUAGGCGGUUUGUCGCGUCUGCUGUGAAAUUUCGGGGCUAACCCCGAACUUGCAGUGGGUACGGGCAGACUAGAGUGUGGUAGGGGAGACUGGAAUUCCUGGUGUAGCGGUGAAAUGCGCAGAUAUCAGGAGGAACACCGAUGGCGAAGGCAGGUCUCUGGGCCAUAACUGACGCUGAGAAGCGAAAGCAUGGGGAGCGAACAGG
rnacentral:rRNA from 1 species